UACGGGGGAGCAAGCGUUGUUCGGAUUUACUGGGCGUAAAGGGCGCGUAGGCGGCCAGCACAAGUCAGUUGUGAAAUCUCCGAGCUUAACUCGGAACGGUCAACUGAUACUGUGCGGCUAGAGUGCGGAAGGGGCAACUGGAAUUCUUGGUGUAGCGGUGAAAUGCGUAGAUAUCAAGAGGAACACCCUGCGGCGAAAGGCGGGUUGCUGGGCCGACACGUGACGCUGGAGGCGCGAAAGCUAGGGGAGCGAACGGG
rnacentral:rRNA from 1 species